UGCAGUAGCGGCGACAGAAGCACGAACAACAGCGUUGACCGCCGCAGUUACCACAUCGGCGUAGUCAACAGGUGGCAGUGACGACGAUGGAGGCGGCGGCAACGAAUUUCGAAAGUGCCCGCCAUCGUUAUUACCUCCAUCAAGAUCAUCAUGCAAAUUAUCAUGUGCAUAACCAUGGUCAACAGCAACAUUUUCAUCGUCGUCAUUAACAACGAUGACGACGGUAACAUAAUGAAGAUGUCCGUGGUGAAAACGAAGGUUGGCGGCUGAUUUUCCUUUGCCUAAAGUUCGUUUGCUGUUUUAGCGUUUAUUUAUUAUUAUUUUUUUAUGUUUGAUUGUAGGCUGUAGCGACAACAACGAUAACCGCAACAACUAGAGCCAGCCUCCGUCUUGGGCUUGAGUUGUUUGUCAACAUCGACUAUAUGUACGUAGGUCCGGUUGGCGUUUUGGUGACAUCGAGCUGGCCAAGACAAAGCGCCGACUCGAGACAAUCCCCUGUCUCAUAUGCGGGAACUGUCAUCUCGUUGCCACUGCCAUGCACAGCGCAUCUAUCAACUAAUUUGUGACUAAUAGAUCCAUAAGGAAUUGUAAUAAGUGCAUUAUUUCUUAACUUCAAACUGUUUUGGUGACCCUCGCAUCUACUUCGGUAACAAAUCGGAAACGCAGAGAAUCAAUUUUCGUAUAGAACACAGCUUGUCUGGUCAGGUAUGGAACUCGACAGAUCACCCCAACCGAUUGACUCGGCAAACACCGCCCACUCCUUCUCACCAAUCCGUAAUACUUUUAAAUGAAGAUCCGGGUUGGAAAAGUUACGCGGAAUGAAAAAGGAACUGAGAAUCAUUCCUGUGGAAUCGCUAAUGCCGCAUCGAAAACGAUGGCAGCAGCGGUAAAAGCGGCCUAAGAUGAAGAAUAGAUGAUCACACGGUUCGAUGUGGUCGAACAGCUGAUGCGAGCUGAGCGGCGGAUAACGAUGUCAACGCUAGGCAAAAAACAAGACAGCGCCCAACUGGCUGCAGAAUUCGCUUCUGAGGAAUUUCUUUCUUUGUCUCUCUGAUUGUUUUUGAUUUUUUCUUCGUUUUUCAUGCGUUCUUCAAGAGCUCAAGAAAUAGCAAACUGCUAAAGGGACUAUUUGAAUGAUUCCUUUGGCAGAAUUUGAAACACGCCCCUUUACGCCACAGUAUCCGUCCAUAAAUACAUGGCUAUUUGUACAUGUAUGGAUGGUUAAAUAUACGUAUCCAUUGUUAUGUGACGAGGAGGGAAACAUUCCUUCAGUAAAUAGAGGCCAUUCAAAAUGUUUUUUUACAGUUGUGUCUAAAUAAGAAGCUUCUGUGUGGAUGCACCAGUGAAACAACUGCUGCCCUGUUAGAUCACGGCCUGCAACAUGUUUUCGUGAAUGUAUUUGAUUAUUCGUCUUGCGGCCUUAUUGGGGGCUUUAUGCCGCCUUGUUUAUACAUAUAAUGGAUUCUUUACACGCCCAGUUUGAAAUAAAGAUGAUCCUAGUCAGGCCUAACGCUUGAGACAUUAGAAUGUACUAAAGUGAAGUACGUAUAAUUUAUUAUUAUAAUUCCGAUCAACCUGAUAUUACAAUUCAAACCAAGAUAGCAACAUAUAGAAAUCUGACUUAGUCAACUGAUCUCGAGCUAGAAGCACUGCACGCAUUGUAUUUCUAGAGAAAAGGCCUAAGGCGAUUUUUCUCGUUGGCCUAUGUAAUUUCAGUGGGAAGAGAAACCUUACGUAAUUAUAAAUAGCAAUUAGUUUUAUAUAAGUAGAUUCUUAUAACACUUAUGACUAACGCUUCACCUCAACAAGACGCCAAUCAAACCCACAGAUGAAUAUGCGAAAGUGCAAUCAUAUGAUAUACAAAUUACUUAUUAGAUGCGAUCGAAUAGUUGGUCAGCAAAGUUUCAGGCCUGUCUUCCAAGGUUUUCUUCGAAUAAAUACAACCUUCAUUAGACCUAGCCAGUGCACAGAAGCAAAAGCUUUUACUCAACUUAAUCUUGGUAAUUAGCAGCCGAACAAUACUGUACAAUGCUCUUCACGUAUAAUGCUUUUUGUCGAUUAAAGGCUCCAUCGUAUUGGCCGCAAAUAUUUCACACGGAAGGUAUAUUGUGUACUGUUGAUGGUAUACUGGACUCGCUAGAACGGAUGAACAAUAGUUAGAGGCUACUCGUUGCGCGAUAGGUCUCUCGUUUAGCUCUUUGAAGAUUUAUUUUUUUCUAGCUUCAGUCGUUAC